UACGUAGGGAGCAAGCGUUGUCCGGAAUCAUUGGGCGUAAAGCGCGCGUAGGUGGCCUCAUAAGUCCGCUGUGAAAGUCAAAGGCUCAACCUUUGAAAGCCGGUGGAUACUGUGAGGCUAGAGUACGGAAGAGGCGAGUGGAAUUCCUGGUGUAGCGGUGGAAUGCGCAGAUAUCAGGAGGAACACCAAUAGCGAAGGCAGCUCGCUGGGGACGUACUGACACUGAGGCGCGAAAGCGUGGGGAGCGAACAGG
rnacentral:rRNA from 1 species